CUCUCCUCUCCAUCUUCAUCUUCAUCUCCAUCUCGAUCUGCUCAGCUGAGCUCUUCAUUCUCUUCUCAAUCUCUGAACUCUAUCAUCGUGUAGAAGUGUAUCAUCAGGUAAUGACAGUGUUGUAUUGUGGUUCCGCACUAGGGUAAAAUUUAGGCGGAAAAGUUGGUUAUUUUGAAUUGCGGGUAUGAAGGAACGGCAAACUCUUCGAGAUGGGUUCUCGACGUACUUGUCAGAUGUUGAUGAUGAUAAAUUAGAUACUUCAGGAGACUCUAUUAAAGGAAUCGGUGAAUCCUUCAUGGAUAUUAUGUCAUUUCUUCCUUUUUAUUUGGUUACCAUCUUGGGGUAGUGAGAGAACCACUUGAAAGUAUUUCACUGGAUCUUGGUUUUAGCAGGAAUUCCCUUGCUGAAGGUCUGGUGGUGAGUACAUGUCUUGGUGGUGCAUUUCUUGGGUCCAUUUUAAGUGGUUCAACAGAAGAUGAUGUAUGGCGUCGUAGGGGUUUUCAGUUGAGUGAUUUACCAAUGAUUAUUGGGUCUUUUCUUAGCGCGAUAACAGAAAUCCUGGAAGGUAUGCUUCUUGGGAGGUUUCUUGUUGGAA